CCUUCAUAAUGGUUUGUAUAUCUAUUUCCCUAAGACACUAAGAAACUUCUCUUGUCUCAAAUCAUUUACUAUCCAUCUGGAGACUUUUCCAAUAUCAAUGGACAAUGCUGCAACUCAUAAGAUACAAAAAGCCCAUGAGAUCAUGGCAAGAUCACUGCUGGAGACUCCUGGUUUCUCCUAACCAGAGUUGGCUUGUACGAGGACAUGGAUCAUAAGGAAUUUUCACUGCUAGUACAAGGUGCAUCUAUUCAUUUAAGAAUAGAGAUGACAUUGAAACAAACACAAUCCUGUACUUUGGGCCCAUCUGGAACCUAGAACAUCACGUAAUGGAUUCAUGCAAAUACAUAACAAAGAAUGAUACCUACUGCCUGGAGAAAAUGCUCCUAAUACAUUGCCAUUUUAAAAAAUAUAUAUACAAAAUAGAUCUAUGCCAUAGUGUUAUUUUUGCUAAUGUGCAAGUGCAAUUGGAAUAUGCUAUUUGUAUAUGUGCAAAUACACUAACAGU